CAGUCGCCGCGGUAAUACGAAGGGUGCAAGCGUUACUCGGAAUUACUGGGCGUAAAGCGUGCGUAGGCGGUUCGUUAAGUCUGUUGUGAAAGCCCCGGGCUCAACCUGGGAAUGGCAAUGGAUACUGGCAAGCUAGAGUGUGUCAGAGGAUGGUGGAAUUCCCGGUGUAGCGGUGAAAUGCGUAGAGAUCGGGAGGAACAUCAGUGGCGAAGGCGGCCAUCUGGGACAACACUGACGCUGAGGCACGAAAGCGUGGGGAGCAAACAGGAUUAGAUACCCCAGUAGUCCCUGUCUCUUAUAC
rnacentral:rRNA from 1 species